rnacentral:ncRNA from 1 species
GCAUGGACCCUGGGGUGCCGCAUGCAUUAUCGCCAUGCGGCUGAGAUCACACCCAUCGAACCUGAUCCGGGUCAUGCCGGCGAAGGGAGAAGGCGGAAAUGAGUUU